UACAGAGGGUGCAAGCGUUGUUCGGAAUUAUUGGGCGUAAAGCGUGCGCAGGCGGUGAUGUAAGACAGAUGUGAAAUCCCCGGGCUCAACCUGGGAACUGCAUUUGUGACUGCAUCGCUGGAGUGCGGCAGAGGGGGAUGGAAUUCCGCGUGUAGCAGUGAAAUGCGUAGAUAUGCGGAGGAACACCGAUGGCGAAGGCAAUCCCCUGGGCCUGCACUGACGCUCAUGCACGAAAGCGUGGGGAGCAAACAGG
rnacentral:rRNA from 1 species